GCCUCUGUGGUUGAGUUGGAAGUAUCGUCGAUGUCUCAUAUUAGGCAUAUCCGAUCGUCGGCGGUUCGAUUCCGCCGAGAGGAU